GGGGAAUAUUGGACAAUGGGCGCAAGCCUGAUCCAGCCAUGCCGCGUGGGUGAAGAAGGCCUUCGGGUUGUAAAGCCCUUUUGUUGGGAAAGAAAAGCAGCCGGCCAAUACCCGGUUGUUCUGACGGUACCCAAAGAAUAAGCCACGGCUAACUACGUGCCAGCAGCCGCGGUAAUACGUAGGUGGCAAGCGUUGUCCGGAAUUAUUGGGCGUAAAGCGCGCGGAGGUGGUUUCUUAAGUCUGAUGUGAAAGCCCACGGCUUAACCGUGGAGGGUCAUUGGAAACUGGGGGACUUGAGUGCAGAAGAGGAAAGUGGAAUUCCAAGUGUAGCGGUGAAAUGCGUAGAGAUUUGGAGGAACACCAGUGGCGAAGGCGACUUUCUGGUCUGCAACUGACGCUGAGGCGCGAAAGCAUGGGGAGCAAACA
rnacentral:rRNA from 1 species